rnacentral:rRNA from 1 species
UACGUAGGGGGCUAGCGUUGUCCGGAAUCAUUGGGCGUAAAGAGCGUGUAGGCGGCUCGGUAAGUCCGCUGUGAAAGUCCAGGGCUCAACCCUGGAAUGCCAGUGGAAACUGUCGAGCUAGAGUCCGGAAGAGGCGAGUGGAAUUCCUGGUGUAGCGGUGAAAUGCGUAGAGAUGCGGAGGAACACCGAUGGCGAAGGCAGCCCCCCUGGGCUAACACUGACGCUCAGGCACGAAAGCGUGGGGAGCAAACAGG